CAGUCUGCAACUCGAGUGCAUGAAGCUGGAAUCGCUAGUAAUCGCGAAUCAGAAUGUCGCGGUGAAUACGUUCCCGGGUCUUGUACACACCGCCCGUCACACCAUGGGAGUCGGGAAUGCCCGAAGCUGGUGACCCAACCUUAAGGAGGAAGCCGUCGAAGGCAGGCCUGGUAACUGGGGUGAAGUCGUAACAAGGUAAC
rnacentral:rRNA from 1 species